AGAGUUUGAUCCUGGCUCAGAUUGAACGCUGGCGGCAUGCCUUACACAUGCAAGUCGAACGGCAGCGCGGGGCAACCUGGCGGCGAGUGGCGAACGGGUGAGUAAUAUAUCGGAACGUGCCCUGGAGUGGGGGAUAACGCAGCGAAAGUUGCGCUAAUACCGCAUACGAUCUAAGGAUGAAAGCAGGGGACCGCAAGGCCUUGUGCUCCUGGAGCGGCCGAUAUCUGAUUAGCUAGUUGGUGGGGUAAAGGCCUACCAAGGCAUCGAUCAGUAGCUGGUCUGAGAGGACGACCAGCCACACUGGAACUGAGACACGGUCCAGACUCCUACGGGAGGCAGCAGUGGGGAAUUUUGGACAAUGGGCGAAAGCCUGAUCCAGCAAUGCCGCGUGAGUGAAGAAGGCCUUCGGGUUGUAAAGCUCUUUUGUCAGGGAAGAAACGGUGCGGGCUA
rnacentral:rRNA from 1 species